CAUGAAGCCGGAAUCGCUAGUAAUCGCAGAUCAGAAUGCUGCGGUGAAUACGUUCCCGGGUCUUGUACACACCGCCCGUCACACCAUGGGAGUCGAUAACGCCCGAAGUCAGUGACCCAACCGAGAGGAGGGAGCUGCCGAAGGCGGGAUGGAUAACUAGGGUGAAGUCGUAACAAGGUAUC
rnacentral:rRNA from 1 species